rnacentral:rRNA from 1 species
UACAGAGGGUGCGAGCGUUGUUCGGAAUUAUUGGGCGUAAAGCGCUUGUAGGCGGCCUGUUAAGUCGCGUGUGAAAUCCCCUGGCUUAACCAGGGAAGUGCGCGCGAAACUGGCGGGCUUGAGUGCCGGAGAGGGUCGCGGAAUUCCCGGUGUAGAGGUGAAAUUCGUAGAUAUCGGGAGGAACACCAGUGGCGAAGGCGGCGACCUGGACGGACACUGACGCUGAGACGCGAAAGCGUGGGGAGCAAACAGG